GCAGGCUGAAACUCGCCUGUAUGAAGUCGGAAUUGCUAGUAAUCGCGGAUCAGCAUGCCGCGGUGAAUACGUUCCCGGGCCUUGUACACACCGCCCGUCACACCAUGAGAGUUGGCAACACCCGAAGUCAGUAGCCUAACCGCAAGGGGGGCGCUGCCGAAGGUGGGGUUGAUGAUUGGGGUGAAGUCGUAACAAGGUAAC
rnacentral:rRNA from 1 species